rnacentral:snoRNA from 1 species
AGGCCAUGGUGUGGGCAAACUCGUUGGAGCUCUUUAUCCCAUGCCUCAUAUAGGGAUUCAUUUUCAUGUUGGGUAAAUGAGGUUAUUUCUUUGAUAAGCUU